GUGACGGUACUGGAGAGUGGACAGCUGGAAAGUGAGCAUGGAGCUGCAGGUUGAAGUGGAUGUGUCUACCAGAAAGACAGCAAAAAGAGAGAUGUGAGCAGAGAUAAAGCUUUCUUUGAAACUCCCCCAAGCCUCCAACUGAUCUCCCUCACACCCAGCUUUAGAAAAAACAGAGGCUGCCUGUGUCCUUGCAACCAUUCUCUGCUCAGCUCCUCCUCCUGCCACACCCCACUCCCUCUACCUCCUGUCAGGCUCUGCUCUCCCUCCUUUUCCUAUGUGCUUCCUGACUGUCUUCUUACUCACCUGUGAUGGUAGCAAAACUGAUGACCUCUUCCUUCAUUGAAGCCACAGUCCCAGAUUGCAGUCUCCGGAGGGCUCUGCCCACUUUCUUAAAGAAGCUGGAGGAAGUGUCAAAGAAAAAGCUGUGGAGAAAGAGUGUGAUUUAGAAAUGUGUCCCUAUUCCACUUAUUCAUCUUUUCCCUGUUUAGUUGCUGGGGCUGUCAAGAGAGCACCAGACCUGGAGCCAGAUGUCCCCCACUCUUCAUCCUGGGGACUGAAGCUAUAGUUGGAGGGAAGGAGAUUUGGUCUCAAAGAGGAGUGGAGUGAAGAAUACAGGCAGAAAAGAGAGAGACACCAGAGCCUCUCCCUAGAUGAAAGUGCUCUCAAAUUAAAUGUCAGAUAACA